AUCUAAUACACUUAAGAUGAGCUUCGACAGUGAUCCUGGAUUGACAGGUGAUUAUUUCUGUUGGGAUCUUUGAGGGAACAGAUGAACUUCAAGAUUUGGUUGACGCUUCUGUCCGUGACUGCACUUUCUUAUGGCAGUAAAGACGCUCAAUGCAGCUUCCGGGGAUCGUUCCGAGGCGGGCAGUGUUUCUGCGAAUCCCCUUAUUUCGGGGUGAAGUGUGAAAUACGAGUAGAUCCGGCUUCAAAUGGCGACGAAGAAGAAGAAGGAACAGGCUGCAGAGAGCAUCCUGGUGCGCCGUGUGCAGCGGCAGAGGCUCCUGCAUUUUCGGGCAAUGCGAAUGCAAUCCGAGGGACGAUGCAGCCGAGGUGAUCUCCGGUAUGUUUUGCGAAUGCACUAACUUUCUGUGCAGCCGAGUCAACGGCCUCCUGUGCGGAGGUCCAAGCCACGGGGAAUGCGUCUGCGAUAAGUGCCUUUGCCAACCUGGGUGGUCUGGAGAGAGCUGCACCUGUGACGUUUCUCAUGACGACUGCGUGAAUCCAGAUACUGAUGAGAUCUGUUCAAACAACGGGAACUGCCAGUGUAACGAAUGCGUUUGUGAAGGCCAGUACUCAGGACAAUGGUGUGAGGACUGCCCAACUUGUGUUGGACGCUGCCAAGAUUUCAGUGCUUGUGUAUACUGCCAGACAUUUGGAGGGCUUCAUUGCCCAUUGAACCAUGACGACUACGCCAAAAAAUGUCAUCUCGAAACAGAAAUAGUGGACAGUCUUGGAGAAUUGGGCGAGGACCAGAGGCUGUGCCGGUUUCUCGAUGGGCAAGACUGCGCAUACACCUUUUCGUACAGCACCAAGGGACGCCAGAAAAUCCGAUCUGUCAGGCAGCUGGAAUGUCCAAAGCGUCCUGGAGGUUGAAUCUGUCGCCGAAGGACAGUACCAGUGCGGAGAAGGACUGGAGUUUACUGUGUCCUCAUGGAUGCCGAGUGACGUCACUCCAGGAAAAAAAUAUCGGUGGACGUUUAAGACCUACGAGAACAAGACGAUGGGUAUUUUGUGCCCAACCAUUGAAAUUCCCGAGAAUCCGAACUGCAGACGUGAUAUGCUGAUCGUAUCCAGCCCGACCGAGCAUCAAACCGCAAAAA